rnacentral:rRNA from 1 species
UACGGGGGGGGCAAGCGUUGUUCGGAAUUACUGGGCGUAAAGGGCUCGUAGGCGGCCAACUAAGUCAGACGUGAAAUCCCUCGGCUUAACCGGGGAACUGCAUCUGAUACUGGUUGGCUUGAGAUUGGGAGAGGGAUGCGGAAUUCCAGGUGUAGCGGUGAAAUGCGUAGAUAUCUGGAGGAACACCGGUGGCGAAGGCGGCAUCCUGGACCAACACUGACGCUGAGGAGCGAAAGCCAGGGGAGCAAACGGG